rnacentral:rRNA from 1 species
UAUAUUAAAGUUGUUGCAGUUAAAAAGCUCGUAGUUGGAUUUCGGAAGGUCUUUAGUGGUCCGCCCCUUCGGGGAGCGGGUCACUGGCCUCCUAUGUUCCUAACGGUCCUCAUCCGCGAGGGUGGGGAAUCAACCGCUAGGAUCGUUUACUUUGAGGAAAUUAGAGUGUUCAAAGCAGGCGUAACUCGCCUCCGAAUACGUUAGCAUGGGAUAAUGGAAUACGACUUCGGUCUUGUUUCGUUGGUUUCGCUUGGCUGAAGUAAUGAUUGAUAGGGACAGUUGGGGGCAUUAGUAUUUAGUUGUCAGAGGUGAAAUUCUAGGAUUUACUAAAGACUGACCAAUGCGAAAGCAUUUGCCAAGGAUGUUUUCAUUAAUCAAGAACGAAAGUAGGGGGAUCGAAGACGAUCAGAUACCGUCGUAGUCUCUACCGUAAACUAUGCCGACCAGGGAUCCGGAGAGUUUGCAUGGAUGACUCCCCGGGCACCUUGUGAGAAAUCAUAAGUGUUUGGGUUUUGGGGGGAGUAUGGUCGCAAGGCUGAAACUUAAAGGAAUUGACGGAAGGGCACCACCAGGAGUGGAACCUGCGGCUUAAUUCGACUCAAC